UGAGCAUACUGGAGUCACGUGGCAGCACGCUCAUCUAAUUAAUGAAGUGACAGUUUUAUGCUGUGAAGUAGCAAAAGGACUUGACAAGACUCAUGGCUUUUCUCAUUGACUCUAAAAGCUGGAAUGAUGUUUCUUAACAUUCGCACAAGCCAUGAAUAUCAUAUGUAUUGGGGAAUCAGAAGUAUCAGCCGGUUUGGAGUAUUGGGAGGACACUGGAAGAGCGGAAUUUAAGUCAGAACACGUGAAAACCAUGAAGAGCUCUCAAACAAGGAGCACUGGGAAG
rnacentral:lncRNA from 1 species